rnacentral:rRNA from 1 species
UACGUAGGGACCGAGCGUUGUCCGGAAUCAUUGGGCGUAAAGAGCGUGUAGGCGGCCACUUAAGUCCUGCGUGAAAUCUUGCGGCUCAACCGCAAGCGGUCGUGGGAAACUGGGUGGCUAGAGUGCGGGAGAGGAGAGUGGAAUUCCUGGUGUAGCGGUGGAAUGCGCAGAUAUCAGGAAGAACACCCGUGGCGAAGGCGGCUCUCUGGGACGGUACUGACGCUGAGACGCGACAGCGUGGGGAGCGAACAGG